GCCUAAUUAUGCGAUUUUUCAGGCAAGUUCUAUCAGACCGAUUAAUCUAUUGUCAAUUUUUUCAAAUAGAUUCAUGUAAUUAGAUCCAACCGGCUUUGAUACCAAAUGUUAGUAUAAAUUGCUGGGAUUACGCAAUUGCUAAUCGGAUCUCAUCUAAUACACAUGAACACUACUCGAUUCAAUGCGGAAAUUAGUGGACAGUAGUGUGUUUAUACCUCCGUUUGAAGAGGCCAUCUCGGUGGAGUAAGGAGAGUCUGAUGACGAACUGCAGCAGCGUAGUAGAUCACUCCGGCACCUCACCGGAGUAAGGUAAAGGCCUUCACGUCAACGUCCAGCGCACUCCCGAUUGGAUUUGGAGUGAAAUUUGGAGGGCACCGGUAUCCUAAACGAUACGACGAUCAAUUAGGUGCAGGGAUGCCCUCCUUUAUAUAUAGCGCUGUAUAUGACGUGGGACCUAACCAUAAUAUUAAUUAGCCCCCCAAUCACAGACGCAAAUUGCUAAUUACCGUUAAUUAGUGUUAAUCCCGUAAUUAACUAUUGGGCCCACUUUAACUUAUGGUAAUUAACAUAUUAACCAUUUAAUCACUUAUUUUUUCCUACAUAAUUAGUCCCCUAUAUGUAUAUUGUCAUCAACAUAAAACAUGAUCAAGGGCAUAAUUGUACUUUCAAAAUCAAUAUCUAAAGAGUAGUGGGGUGUGACCGAUUGCUUGGAGUAGGAUGACGAGAUGAUAUGUGAGAACGGGGUUUUAGACCCGAUCCUUGACGGUUGUUGUCUGACCCAACCACAUAGAUCUCCUUCGGCUCUAUCGCACGCCGACAGCGGAUGGGGACACUAGUGUGUCAUACGACUUGAUGGAUAAUAAGCGCUAUCACGCGACCUAGCACUACUGUUGGUAAAUGCGGUCAUGACAUGAUGCAUAGUCAUUGUGGGGAGCCACCUUUUGUGUCCGUGGUCGAUCAGCAAUCAACGCAGCGCCAUUGUAGGUGACCACAAAGUAGAGGGAGAUGAGGUGGCGGCGUUGAAGCCCUUUGGUAGAAACCAUUGUUACUUGAUCUAUUGAUUAUUUAGAUAAAAAGCUUAAUUUUGUUACACAUAGACAAAUGGUUAGUAUACUAGGAUACAUGGAAAAAAAUAAAUUGGUGAAGUUACUCCCUCUGUUGAGGAUUAUUGGGCUGGCGAGCCAAGAAGCAGCAUCCUCUUUUAUUAUUACUAGAAUAAUGCAUGUGCGUUGCAAUGGGAUAUACAUAUUCUAGUAUGUUAGAUUAUGAUUUACCUAUCAAUAAUAAUGACCAUGAAUUACCUUAUAUUUUGAUUAGAAGUUUAAUAAGUAAUUAAAGUGGAACUGAUUCAGAAGAUAAGUAAAUUAAAGUGAUUGAUUAUCAUAUACAUGGAAGGUUGGACGAAUGAGUGGUGGGAAGAAAGAUGAAAUAAGAACCUUACGUUCUUUAUAAAUAGUAGAGAUUAGAUUGCUUGAAAAAUCGCUAUUUAAACAAACCUAAUUAGCUACAAGCCUAAUUAAUUGUUUGGCUUAUUAAUCUCUAGUAUUAAAGGGGACUUGAUAGGUUUGCCUCACCUUCUCCUCUAUUUUUUCUCCUCACACCUCAUCCCUGCUUGGUUUAUAGUAUAGUAUAUACUAGCAGAACACCCUGCGUUGCUAUGAGCUAUUUAUCAUGUUAUCUUCAACACAUGCGCUCAACACAAAAACUUACCCCACGACACACCCUUCUCUUCUCCUAUUGAACUCUCUCCUUCCCGCUCGGUUUGGCGUUGUAGCGGGACAUUUCUCGUUGGAGCCUACUCCUUUAAAACCAGAUGACGUCCACCUCACUUUUUCAUGCAUUUCGGUAGGGAUGAAAAUUUUCAUAUUUCCACUAAUAGAGUGGGUUAAGGUAACACAUAGUAUUGACACAAAACAACAAAUAACUAUAGAGAUCUUUCUCAAAAGUUCAUUCAACUUUGCAAAUGCGCUCACGUGGGAGGCGAGUGACAACCUGAACGUAUUCCUUGUCACCAAUAAGCUCCACCUCCAUCCACACAUACCAUUCGUUGCUAGAAGGGAUAAUUGUCGUUCUUCUCUUCCCCGUCCUUCCCUACAUCUUCUAGUCCUAGCCUCUUUGCCAACCCGUUUCGUUGAUGCCAACCAGCAUCACAUCAACAUUAAUGCAUUCGUUAGUGACGCCUUAUCUUCUUAUUCCUCCUACCUCGUCAGCUUUAGUUCUCGUUCCUACUUAUUUUCUAGAAUACUCACUACUGCAGGAUGGUCCAAACGUGACACUACGAUCAAAGACCCUUCGACGAAACUGUGUGCAAUGCCAUAAUCGCAAACGAUGGUGUAAAAAAACGUCAAAAAAUGUGCAAAACUUUUGCGAUGACAGAUGCAUCAAACACGGUUCAGAAUUUAGUUGCGUGUGCGAUGCAGGGCAUACGAUUCAGCUCAAUUAACUGUUUGGGAUGAGGAGGCACAAAAGAAACGGGCAGCCAGAUGAAGGCGUGUGCGAUAUACAGCAUACUGUUCAUUGGAAUGAACUGUGUGUGAUUAGGCAACACAAUGAAAACGGUUCAACUGAACAAAAUGUGUGUGAUACACGGCAAACAUGUCCGUAAUCUGAAAUGUAUGCGAAGACCAAUAAUAACACAGACGAUUGCUGCUAAUAAGCCGUGUGAAUUGCUCUGUAUACAGUAGAAUAACAUGUAUAUAUAUAUAACUGAAACAAACAUCCAAUUACAUAAGUGACUAUACAUAUCAUUCGCACACACCUCAAUAAACAAUUGCAUGCAUUCUAAAGUAGGAGAAACGAUCGUCUAGUCAUCUACUUCUUGUGACGCUCCCGCCAGUGCUAUGUGGCUUGAUCCCUCGUCUGGGUCAGAAAAAAGACAGUUCCUCAUGUCAACGAUUCACAUAUACAUCUCGUAGCUUGUGUACGUGUCCAUGGCCGUGUACUUGACAUGUUGUUCAUCCAGUCGCUUAUGCCACACACUGUGCCAGGCGUUCUUGUCCUUAUUGCUCUCUUGUUUCAUCUUUGCGUUGUAGGGGUCGAUGAUGGUCGAGGCGAGGUCAACCAAGGAGUUCAGUUUGCCUUUGUCACUGCCUCAGACCUUGUAGUGGUGCUGGAUGUUGACAAGAUUCGGGCAUUUCAAGUCUGAAACCUUGAGCGCUUUUAGAUCAUUGGUGGUGUCCACCGUAGCGAAACUGUAGUCGGAGCUGUUGAUAAACCUAGAGUAACACUCGCAAGGCCUUGUGGCAAGGUGGAAGUGGUAGACGAGGACGUCAUGUUGCACGCACAACUAGGCGACGACAACCUUUUGAUCAUGC
rnacentral:lncRNA from 1 species